GAUGAAGAACGUAGUGAAAUGCGAUAACUAGUGUGAAUUGCAGAAUUCAGUGAAUCAUCGAAUCUUUGAACGCACAUUGCGCCCGCCAGUAUUCUGGCGGGCAUGCCUGUUCGAGCGUCAUUUCAACCAUCAAGCCCCCGGCUUGUGUUGGGGACCUGCGGCUGCCGCAGGCCCUGAAAACCAGUGGCGGGCUCGCUAGUCACUCCGAGCGUAGUAAUACAUCUCGCUCAGGGCGUGCUGCGGGUUCCGGCCGUUAAAAAGCCUUAUUUACCCAAGGUUGACCUCGGAUCAGGUAGGAAGACCCGCUGAACUUAAGCAUAUCAAUAAGCGGAGGA
rnacentral:misc_RNA from 1 species